rnacentral:rRNA from 1 species
CACGUAGGGCGCAAGCGUUGUCCGGAAUUAUUGGGCGUAAAGCGCGCGCAGGCGGUCAUUUAAGUCUGGUGUUUAAUCCCGGGGCUCAACCCCGGAUCGCACUGGAAACUGGGUGACUUGAGUGCAGAAGAGGAGAGUGGAAUUCCACGUGUAGCGGUGAAAUGCGUAGAUAUGUGGAGGAACACCAGUGGCGAAGGCGACUCUCUGGGCUGUAACUGACGCUGAGGCGCGAAAGCGUGGGGAGCAAACAGG